CAAGGGCUUCUGGGGCAGCUCCUGUGUCUCUCACUUUCUCAGAAUAAUGUCUUUUCUCUUUUUUUUUCAGGCUUGGCACUUCUCCAGCUGCAAGGGUGGAGGGGGUCACAGACGAGAGCAAGUUAAAUUGCUGAGUUUCCCACCAAGACUGCCAGAGGUGAAAGGAAAGAGUUUCCCUUUCCCCACCAGAGGAUAGCUGGAUGCCCACCACCACUAUGCCACCCAAAAAAAGGAAUUUUGUGGGCUGGUCUUCAGCCAUCAGUGCUGUCCACACGAUGCUGCUGCCUGUAACUGGGAAAGUGCAAAAGGAGUGGAAUAGAAGUGUCAGCAGCAGUCUGGAUCAACUUCAUCCUCACUCUGAGCUGGCAACGCUGGUUCCUGGUCCGGGGACGGACUGUGAGAUCCAGUGUCUGCAGUUCCUGGUCUGGGGAAGCGAUGAGCUGAAGACAGCCAGAGUGCAAGAGGAUGGUGCUGACUGCAAACAUCACCUGCAAAGGGGGCAGAAGCAGAGAGG
rnacentral:lncRNA from 1 species